AGAAAGGAAAGGAGACAGAAGCAGCAACAUCUCAACAACCAAUUUCCAAUACUAUGAAUCAGAUCAUUUCAAAGCAGUUCCCAGAAACAUGAUACCCAGGGAGAACCCAACAAUGAAGUUAUGGUUGUUAUUUUUUUGAGAAGGGAAAGACUACUGAUGAGAGAUGCUUCCAAAUUAAAAGUGGCAAAGGACUCAGGAUAUUUAAGGAUGAGAUUCCAUUGCCUGAUCUCUUUGUCUUUACAUUCACUUAUCUGCAGUCUGACUCUCUCCUCUCACCAUGGAAUGGAAACUUAGAGUAAGUUCGUAUGUGGCAGUGCUUUGAAAUUCCAGAUGCACCAGAGAGCUUCAAAAACAAACAGAAAACAGAAGACUCAGGGCUACCCUAAAUCAACUGAUUCAUAAUUUCAGAAUGAGAUCCACAGGCAUUGGCAUUUUUUAGAUGAAAGAAAGCUUCCCAGGUGUCUCUAGUGUGCAGCUACGGCUGUGAUCCCCUGAGUUAGAAGCUGAGAAUGUGUGAAGAGGUGUUGCAUAAGGAGUAUCUUG
rnacentral:lncRNA from 1 species